GACUUUGGGAUCACAUUGAGGCCCAUAGGCCCCAGACGUGUCCCACUCUCUUCCUAGGUAGAGUUCCUUCCAGCCCUUUCUCAUGAAACCAGUUCUCUGAUAUGUUUUUCAGAGAUAUCUUUGAAACAUUUACACUGAGAAGGCACCAGCCCCCAGACAGGGACACUUACAGCAAGAGAUAUCAAGGUUUCCCAGUGGUUGAGAAAUCAUUGAUUCAUCAAUAAUAUUUGGAUCAACUAGUCAAUUCCCCAUUUUACACAGUGGAGUGCUGGAGCUGGCUCACACUAGAUUGACUGUACACAUCUCUUCACAUCUUUAUAUUCAGUAGCAUCCGUUGGUAGCUUGAAACCAACCACGUGGGAACAUUUAUAUCACAGAAAUUGGCAAACCCUAUAGAUCAGGGUUUCUCCCCUACCAUGGAGAACCAGCUGUUAAACAUUCACCAGCACACCGCUGUACCCAAUGGAAAUGAGUAACAGAGAGAUCAAGUGACUCUGUCAUUGUCACACACCACAGUAGUUUAGAAGAGAAUAGUUAAGCAGGACUUUUUAGAAGAUGUAAGAGUAGCACUAGAUGUCUAAGGGAGUGUGGCAGGUAGAUAGGUGAAUGGAUGGAUAGAUAGAUAGAUAGAUGAUAGAAUGAAUAAUAGCCACCAAAGAUGCCAGUGCCCUAAUUCCCUCAGAGCCUUAUACGCAAAAGGGACUUUGCAGAUGUGAUUAAGGAUCUGGACCUUGGGAUAGAAAAAUUGUCUUGGAUUAUCUGGGUGGACCCAGUUCUUUAAAGACAUGAAUCCUUAAAAGCAGAUACUCUUUCCUGGCUGGGUCAGAGGAAUGAGACAGAAGAAAAAGGAAAGACUGGGUCCGACUAGACUUUGAAGAUAGAGAAAAAGAGCCCCGAGCCAAGGAUGUGGGUGGUCUCUAGAAGCUGAAAAAUGGCCCGCAGCUGAUAGCCAGCAAAAAAACGGGGAUCAGUGAGACUACAGCCCUGCUGACACCUUGAGUUUAGUCCAUUGAGACCCAUGUCCGAUGUCUGACCUACAGAACUACAAAAGAAUAAUCCUGUGUUGCUUAAGCCACUAAGUAUGGUAAAUUGUUAUGGCAGCGGUAGAAAACCAAUAGCGAGGCUCAAGUUUAGUUGUGACAGGACAGAAACGGGGAGCAUGCCUACAGAGGGACUACCGAGAGCAGAGGCCCAGAGGUAGGCGGGGCGGUGCAUUUUCAAGGAACUGAGAGUGAAUGACUUGUCUGCAUGGAAGCCUCAAGUGGAAGCAGAGUGAGAAGUAACUUUGGAAGGGCAGGUGGGGCUCUGUGGCCCCAGGGGAACUGGGGGCAAGUGGCAAGGACAGAAGUAAUGACAGCAACAGGCUAAUGAGACUGGGGCUGCCAUGUAGAUGGCUACCGGAGCCAGGCAGGUAAUUUGAAAUGAGUGGGAAGCUAUAAGGAAAACAGCCUGAGGAUGGUGAUGAGUGGCAAUUAACACUUAGCUUCAGGGUGGGGAGCCAUUUGGGGUGGUGGGGACAGGUGAAUUAGAGAGCAUCCAGCAUCCUCGCCCUGCAGGAAUGUGGGCUAUGAGUGGCCAGUUGGCUUUUUCAAGAGAAGCCAGAAAUCCUGAAUUCUUUCAGUUUCUAAAUGUUGAUAACUCUUUCAUUGAUUUUUAACCUGUGUGGGCCACCUUGUCUGUCUCACAGAAAGCACACCUGUAGGUCAGCUUUUGACCUUUGUCUCCUGCUCCCAGCUUUCUCUCUUCCUGGUUUUUGGAUUCUGUGCUGAACUCCCCGUUUGGACUGAAUGAGAAAACUGAGUCUGAGAAGUUAAACUGCCUGCUGUCCAUCCUACUACUAGUCACUGGUGUCGUCAAAAUGUGAACAAAGGCAAUCUGACUCUAGGGCACCUUGCUCACCAAGCCCAUGGUGUACCUUUGCAGGUGACACUUCCCCCUACAGCCCCAAGAAGGGAAGAGCUGCCUCCAACGGCUGCGGCAGUUAAAGUUUUGACAGACAUCGCUAACUGGGCCUGAGGAAGGUUCUGCGGCUUUGAUGGGAGACCAGAUCCCAUCCAGGCAGUUCUGAUGGUUUUGCUCUGAACAGAUAACUCAAUAUAAAGGACAGGGAAAAGUGGAGGGGUGGAGGGAGGAACAAGGAAGGGAGGGGGCGGCGGGAGGAGAAAGUCCCCUAUUUCACAGAACCCAUCCCCAACCAGGCACUCUCUGAUGACCAGGGGAAAGGCUUUGAAAAGUGGAGGGGCAGCACCUCAAACCCUGUUCCCUGAAAGUGGGGGUGGAUCCUGGCAGAAAUCACAUGGGGAUCCCUGCUGUGGAGCCAGGGAGACCAAGGAAAGAGUUCAGGUGAUAGAUAAAAAAAAAAAAAAAAAAGUUAAUAGAGGAGUGAAAUGCAUCUGGCUGUAAUUCCAGUCUUCCGAUUCCCAGUUCGAAAUCCUGGGACAAGGACGCUGUCAGGCGGCUGCCUUCCCUCCCCAGGCCAGCUCCACUCACCCCAGGGCGAUGAUGUGCAAAACCGGUGCGCUUUUUGUUGGUUUGUGAUGUGAGAGACUCUAUUAAAUAUGGCCAAGCAGGCAUCUUGGUUGGAA